UUUUAUUUUGUAACUUCAAAGUUGUUGAUUCUUCUUUAUAGUGCGGGACUGGAUUUAUGCAGGAAGCGAGCUUGAUCAGAACUUUUUCAAUCAACACGGAUCUAGAAGCAGACUCCUGGUUCCAGCUUGGAGCCACCCCAAGCCGCUCCGAGGUGUUUAGUUUGUACCCACAAGGGACCGCUCUGAAAUCGGCGACAUCGCUGACCCAGCUUCGAUCGAGCUCCGGUACCCUGGGACAACCUUACAAGCAUCUGAAGUGUGAUGCUGACAUGAUGGUGUUAAAUGUUUGAUCAUCAGCUGCUUUAGAUCAAGAUUCUUCAACAAACCAAAGAAGGCCUCAGAAGAAGCAGAUUAUAUCAACCAAGUGAUCGAGGUUCAAGCUUCUUGAGACUAAAGAAGACGAGGAUGUCCUCUGUCAAGAUUUGUUUUUUCUACCUGUGUCAUCAGCACUCUCUGCUCUCUCUUCAGUCCAGCAUUAUUUGUCCUCUCUGUUCACUCGUGGCUUUUGGAUUUUGUUCUGUUAUUCGUUUAUUUUUUUUACUCAGUUAACAGAAUUUGAGUUUUGUUUAAACUCCUUGUCUCUGUCAGAAUCUGGCUCCAUUCUACAUAAACACCCCCCACCUCCACAGUUUUCUAUAUAAAACACUGUUGCUGUAAUACUUUACUCUUCAGUGUUUUUCACAUGUUUAGUAACAACAUGUUGGUUGACGUCACACCUCUGAACCAGUCUGAGUCGAUCACAGAGAAGUGUUGAGAGCUGAUAAUCAAACUAAACGCUGAGAAAAACUAAAAACCUGAAGUAAAAACAGGAUGUUAGUUGUUUCUACACUUUUCUUAGUGAUGUGUUUCAGCUGUUU